GCCUGGGUGGCUCAGUGGUUAACUGGACCUGACUUCAACUCAGGUCAUGAUCUCAUGGCUUGUGGGUUCAAGCCCCACAUCGGGCU
rnacentral:tRNA from 1 species